GUAUAAGUUUACCGACGCUUUUUUAAGGCGAAGAUAUCGAUUUUACAUUCUAUGAGACAUGCGUCGAUGAAAUGAGACGUAGGGACCCUUUUUACAGGCCCUUACAUUAGGUUCACAAGUGUGUGUGGAUUAAAGGCUCGGGCGUGCACAUGCCCCGAAAGGCCAGCUACAACCCUCACCGGUAAUUUCAAUAAUGAUCCUUCCGCAGGUUCACCUACGGAAA
rnacentral:misc_RNA from 1 species